rnacentral:rRNA from 1 species
CCUACGGGAGGCAGCAGUGGGGAAUCUUGCGCAAUGGGCGAAAGCCUGACGCAGCCAUGCCGCGUGAAUGAUGAAGGUCUUAGGAUUGUAAAAUUCUUUCACCGGGGACGAUAAUGACGGUACCCGGAGAAGAAGCCCCGGCUAACUUCGUGCCAGCAGCCGCGGUAAUACGAAGGGGGCUAGCGUUGCUCGGAAUUACUGGGCGUAAAGGGCGCGUAGGCGGAUCGUUAAGUCAGGGGUGAAAUCCCAGAGCUCAACUCUGGAACUGCCUUUGAUACUGGCGAUCUUGAGUAUGAGAGAGGUAUGUGGAACUCCGAGUGUAGAGGUGAAAUUCGUAGAUAUUCGGAAGAACACCAGUGGCGAAGGCGACAUACUGGCUCAUUACUGACGCUAAGGCGCGAAAGCGUGGGGAGCAAACAGGAUUAGAUACCCUGGUAGUCCACGCCGUAAACGAUGAUUGCUAGUUGUCGGGCUGCAUGCAGUUCGGUGACGCAGCUAACGCAUUAAGCAAUCCGCCUGGGGAGUACGGUCGCAAGAUUAAAACUCAAAGGAAUUGACGG